UACAGAGGUCCCAAGCGUUGUUCGGAUUCAUUGGGCGUAAAGGGUGCGUAGGCGGCGCGGUAAGUCGGGUGUGAAAUCUCGGAGCUUAACUCCGAAACUGCAUUCGAUACUGCCGUGCUUGAGGACUGGAGAGGAGACUGGAAUUUACGGUGUAGCGGUGAAAUGCGUAGAUAUCGGGAGGAACACCUGUGGCGAAGGCGGCCCCCUGGUUGGAUACUGACGCUGAUACGCGAAAGCGUGGGGAGCAAACAGG
rnacentral:rRNA from 1 species